rnacentral:rRNA from 1 species
ACGAACGCUGGCGGCGUGCCUAAUACAUGCAAGUUGAGCGCUGAAGGUUGGUACUUGUACCAACUGGAUGAGCAGCGAACGGGUGAGUAACGCGUGGGGAAUCUGCCUUUGAGCGGGGGACAACAUUUGGAAACGAAUGCUAAUACCGCAUAAAAACUUUAAACACAAGUUUUAAGUUUGAAAGAUGCAAUUGCAUCACUCAAAGAUGAUCCCGCGUUGUAUUAGCUAGUUGGUGAGGUAAAGGCUCACCAAGGCGAUGAUACAUAGCCGACCUGAGAGGGUGAUCGGCCACAUUGGGAAUGAGACACGGCCCAAACUCCUACGGGAGGCAGCAGGAGGGAAUCUUCGGCAAUGGACGAAAGUCUGACCGAGCAACGCCGCGGGAGUGAAGAAGGGUUUCGGAUCGUAAAACUCUGUUGGUAGAGAAGAACGUUGGUGAGAGUGGAAAGCUCAUCAAGUGACGGUAACUACCCAGAAAGGGACGGCUAACUACGUG